GCCGGUGUGGUGUAGUGGUUUGCGCAUUGGACUUUCACUCUGGAGAUCAGGGUUUGGAUCCCCACUUGGCCA